UACGUAGGGGGCGAGCGUUGUCCGGAAUCAUUGAGCGUAAAGAGCUCGUAGGCGGUUCAGCAAGUCGGCUGUGAAAUUCCGAGGCUCAACCUCGGAACUGCAGUCGAUACUGCUGUGACUCGAGUCCGGUAGAGGAGAAUGGAAUUCCCGGUGUAGCGGUGAAAUGCGCAGAUAUCGGGAGGAACACCAGUAGCGAAGGCGGUUCUCGGGGCCGGUACUGACGCUGAGGAGCGACAGCGUGGGGAGCAAACAGG
rnacentral:rRNA from 1 species